CAAACUGAGCUUGACGACAUAGAUGUGACAUGAGCAACCUGUCUGAAAGUUGUAAGUCUUCUGGUAUCUUGCAAAGACGGAGAGCGUGAGUAGGAGCUGUCCCUGAGCGUAGGAGCAGGAGAAAAACGUUGCUGAAAUAUUUUGUUCCGAUGCUUUCAUGGACUCUCUAUGGGCUUCUCCCUUGACUGUAUGCCUGUAUCUCUGUAUGUAUAUGUUCAUGUUUUAAAAAAGGUUUAACCUGAGCCAGACCAUACAACAAUGACAGCAAUCAUACCACAUCCAUACAGGCUCAGUAGCCUCAGUAGUAGAUGCGGUUUUUACGAAUCUAGCCUGUUUUCCUCCUGAAGUGUAACAGAUUGAUGCAUCGGAUCAUCUUAAAGGUUUGAAUCCCCCCCAUCAUAGUUUGACAAAAUAGGGGCCCCCAAACAGCAUCUUGCAUAGGGCCCGCCAAAAGCUAGAAACGGCCCUGGUUACACAAAUAAUCCAGAACA